rnacentral:lncRNA from 1 species
GGGGAACUUGGCUUUGGGAGAACUACAUACCUAUCAGAAGAUCGCUUGUUUGUUGGAGGUUAUUACAUAAUCGCAUGCCUACUUAUGAUCGGUUAAUCAGACAGGGUAUGAUCAUGCCCAAUUUUUGCUCUUUAUGUUUUGAAGCUGCGGAAACUCUUGACCAUCUUUUAGGGGAUUGCCGCUGUGUGAAGGAGGUUUGGAAUUUGUUUCUAGGGUGGUUUAAUUACAAUCGUGGGAUGCAGGCUUUUGACAUUCAUAGUUUUUUAGCUGAGAC